rnacentral:lncRNA from 1 species
GGGGAGCCCAGACUUGCCAAUGGGUAAGUGAGUCUAGUCAAGAUGUAGGAUUUCAGAAAACUCACUCAGAAGAGCAGGAUGAAGAUAAAGGAGGCAUCAUUCAGCAGCAAUAACCAACUCAUUUCCUUCUCUAGAAAGCAAUGAAACAAGAAUCUGGUCAUGGGAUUUUACCAGUGCAAAGGAUUAAUCCACCCAAUUGAUGGCCAAGAAACCAACCAGUGAGAGCAGGAAGCAAGAACACCUCGAGACAGGAGGCAUGGCUGGGAGGCCUCAGGAAACGUAUAAUCAUGGCAGAAGGCAAAGGGGAAGCUGUAUCUUGUAAUAAGUUAAAUAUUUGCUGAAGGAAGAGAGCUGUAAUAGAAAAUGGAAGUGCCAGUGGUGAGACUUUAUUUUUUUUUCUGAGGAAUGGUUGAAAUACAUGAAGAUACAUAGAGAAGAAAACAAUUCUUAAUAAGUGCUAAGUGUCAUCAAAUACUAUGUUUAAAUGAACUCCUACUGAAGAGAGAUUAGAUUUUUUUCAUCUAUUUUGUUAAGAAAACAAUUGAAGAUCAACAAGUAGAAGUAAGGAGUAGACUCUUCAGAUACAUGGAUUUCUAAUAGUAGAGUUGCUCCAGCUGGACUCACUCAAAUAAAAUGAGUUCCAAAUUCCCAGGGAUGUGCAAACAUUGAAUAAACAAUGAACUGCCAAGAUUAGGUAGUACAAAGCUCAUAGAUGAUUCCUGUUCCCAUAUUGCAUAGGUCUCCUUUGGAUUCAGAAAGACAAUGAACUGCCAAGAUUAGGUAGUACAAAGCUCAUAGAUGAUUCCUGUUCCCAUAUUACAUAGGUCUCCUUUGGAUUCAGAAAGACACUGGGCUUCCCCCAAACCAAAGGAGAAUAGUGCCCCUCCCACUCACAUCCAGAGGCGUACAUCUACUGCAUAGGAGUUGCUUUCAUUUUCCUCUUUAUAAAUUGUUUUGUCUUAUUCUAAAUUCACUAAAGAAUGAUGAUUUUCAGAAAUGUAACAAUAUCAGGUGGAAGUAUAGUUAUGUAGUAGUAUAGCACAAGUUAAGCUAAUUAAAAGAUAUCACUGAUAUAUAUCAAAAUAGAAACACAUGCAAAAAUGACAAUACUUAUUUUUGUUGGGGAUGCAGAGAAAAUAGUACUCUAAAAACUCCUAGAGUGAAUAUGCAUUGUUAUAUCUUUAAUUUUUAAGCCAUGAUAAAGAGGGUAUUAAAAUUUAAUGUACAUACACUUUUUCAUCAAGCAAUACUUUAUAUCUAGAAAUGUAUGUUAUAGAAACCAAAGGGUUACUAGUAGAGACCUAUGAAUAAAUAAUUUUCUUGCAUUAGAUAUUAGAAAAAUACCCAAACAUGAUAAAGUAGUUAUUCAAAUUAUGGUACAUCUAUACCAUGGAUGUUCAUGAAUGCAACCAUUAGAUACAACCCCGUCAUAAAACCAUCAGAUCUCAUGAGACUUAUUCAUUAUCAAGAGAACAGCAUGAGAAAAACCCAUCCCCGUGAUUCAGUUACCUCCUACCAAGUCCCUACCAUGACACAUGGGGAUUAUGGGAGCUACAGUUCAAAAUGAGAUUGGACUAGGGACACAGCCAAACCAUAACAGACAUCAAACUAUUUAUCUUCACAAAUGAUAUAAUUUCACACCUAGAAAACCUCAUAGUCUCUGCAAAAAGGCUCCUAGGCCUAAUAACUUCAGCAAAGUUUCAAAAUAUAAAAUCAAUGUACAAAAAUCAGUAGCAUUUCUAUACACCAAUAACAUCCAAGCUGACAGCAAAAUCAAAAAUGAAAUCCCAUUCACUAUAGCCACAUACAAAAAAUACCUAGGAAUAUGGCUCACCAGGGAGAUGAAACAUCUCUAGAAUAAGAAUUAUAAAACUCUGCUGAAAGAAAUCAGAGAUGGCAUAAAGAAAUGGAAAAACAUUCCAUGCUCUUCGAUAGAAAGAAUCAGUAUUUUUUAAAUGGCCAUACUGCCCAAAGCAAUUUCACAGAUUCAAUGCUAUUUCUAUCAAACUACCAAUUACAUUUUUCACAGAAUUAGAAUAAACUAUUUCAAAUGUCAUAUAGAACCAAAAAAAAGCUUGAAUAGCUAAAGCAAUCCUAAGGAAAAAAAAAUGAAACAAAGAUGAAGGCCUCAUGAUACCUAACUUUAAAAUACAUUACAGGGCUACAGUAACCAAAACAGCAUAGUACUGGUACAAAAACAGACACAUAGACUAAUACAACAGGUUAGAGAUCCCAGAAAGAAAGCCAUAAACCUACAACCAUCUGAUCUUUGACAAAACUGACAAAAACAAGCAACAGGUAAAAGACUCCAUAUUCAACAAAUGAUGCUGGGAUAACUGGCUAAUCAUAUGCAGAAGAUUGAAAUUAGAUUCUUUCCUUUCACCAUUUAUAAAAAUCAACUCAAGAUAGAUUAAAGACCUAAAUGGAAAACCUCAAACUGUAAAAACUCUAAAAGGAAACCUAGGAAAUAUCACCUUGGACAGAGGCCCUGACAAAGAUUUUAUGACAAAGCUUUCAAAAGCCUUUGCAACAAAAACAAAAAUUGACAAAUGGGACCUAAUUAAACUAAAGAGCUUCUGCACAACAACAAAAAUUGAGUAAACAGAUAAUCUACAGAAUGGGAGAAAAUAUUUGCAAAUUUUGCAUCCCACAAAGGUCUAAUAUGAAGAAUAUAUAAAGAACUUCAACAAAUUAACAAACAAGGAGUGAACAACCCUAUCCAAAAAUGUGCAAAGAAGACGAACAGACACUUCUCAAAGGAAGACAUAUGUGGCCAAAAAACAUAUGAGAAAAAAAUGCUUAUCAUCACAAAUAUUUAGAGAAAUGCAAGUCAAAACCACAGUGAGAUACCAUCUCAUACCAGUCAGAAUGGCUAUUACUGAAAAGUCAAAAAUAACAUUCUGGUGAGGUCCUGAAGAAAAGGGAAAACUGAUACACUGCUAGUAGGAAUGUACAUUAAUUUAGCCACAGUGUAAAGAAGUUUGGAGAUCUUUCAAAGAACUUCCUCAAAGAACACACAUAUAUUCAUUGCGACACUAUUCACAGUAGCAAAGACAGCAAAGACAUGGGAUCAACCUUGAUGCUGAUCAAUGGUGGACUGGAUAAGGAAAAUGUGGUACUUAUACACCAUGCAAUACUAUGCAGCCAUAAAAAAAGAACAAAAGCAUGUCCUUUGCAGGGACAUGGAUAGAGCCAGAGGCCAUUAUCCUAAGUCAAUUAACACAGGAACAGAAAACCAAAUACUGCAUGUUCUCACUGCUAAGCAGGAGUUAAACAUUGAGAACACUUGGACAAAAAGAAAGGAACAGUAGACGUCGGGCCUACUGGAGGGUGGAGGGUAGGAGGAGAGUGAGAACUGAAAAACUACCUAUCUGAUACUAUGUUCAUUACCUGGGUGAUGAAAUAAUCUGUACACAAAACUCCCAUGACAGGCAGUUUACCCAUGUAGCAAACCUGCAUAUGUACUCCUUGAACCUAAAAUAAAAAUUGAAAAAAAAAAGCCAAAAAAAAAAAAAAAA